UACCAGCUCUCCGAGUUGUAGGGAUGAUUAUUGGGCUUAAAGCGUCCGUAGCUGGCUUAGCAAGUCUCCUGUUAAAUUCAGCGACCUAAUCGUUGAGCCGCGGGAGAUACUACUAGGCUAGGAGGCGGGAGAGGUCGACGGUACUUUCGGGGGUAGGGGUGAAAUCCUAUAAUCCCGGGAGGACCACCUGUGGCGAAGGCUGUCGACUAGAACGCGCUCGACGGUGAGGGACGAAAGCUGGGGGGAGCGAACCGGAUUAGAUACCCGGGUAGUCCCAGCUGUAAACUAUGCGGGCUAGGUGUUGGGGUGGCUACGGGCCACUUCAGUGCCGCAGGAAAGCCAUUAAGCCCGCCGCCUGGGGAGUACGGCCGCAAGGCUGAAACUCAAAGGAAUUGGGCGGGGGAGCACCACAAGGCGUGAAGCUUGCGGUUC
rnacentral:rRNA from 1 species